GAAUUUUAAUAUGGUAAAAAAAAUAAAUGUUCAGCAAUACAAUGUUCAUAUGGUAACUAAUAAAUACUGUACAUUUUGUUAUUCUAGCAUGUGUGGAAAUUAUCAAACCAAGUGAGUUACAGCUAACCCCGCGCUCACCUAAUUCUGAUUCAGUGUAGCCUCACUAAACUGCAACAAUGUUACUUGAGUGGCUACAAAAGCGCUCGUGCAAGAAAUGGAACAUUAAAUUAAAAAAAAUAUAUAAAAUACCUGCCGUUAUUACCACUAUCAGAUCAUUCGCAGAAAUGGCGCAGCGUAUUAGAAGUUUAAACUUUACAAGCCAUGAAAAAAAAAAAUUAAAUCAAUUAAUGGAGCAAUAUGGGACGAUAAUCAAAGGCAAAAAGACAGAUAACAUGACAAUUAAAAAGAAAGAGGACUCCUGGGUGCAGCUAACGCUGAUUUCAAUGUUUCUGCAGGGAUUAACGACAAGCGCGAUGUAAAUAGUCUGAAAGCUGCUGGAAAAAACUCAGAGCGAAAGAGAAAAUAAGAUGCAGCACAUGAGAGAAGGAACACAUUUCUCACUGGUGGUGUCUCCCCUACUGGAGAAAUAGUUUCAUUGUCACAAAAAAUUAUCCAGACGAUUCCGCAACAGAUAACCCCAUUGCGCAACCCAUUACCCUGCAAACCAGCUGCAGUCACCGACAUCGUCCCACAAAAAUGCGAAUGAUGACGCUGAAAGGACCGGUUCCUGCAGGCCUGCCGCCCCUCAUAAACGCGUCAGCGGUGGAGCAGCUCAGAGCCCGCGAAGAACAAAAGACAAAACAGGAUUAACGACAAGCGCGAUGUAAAUAGUCUGAAAGCUGCUGGAAAAACCUCAAAGCAAAAGCGAAAAAAAGAUGGAGCACCUGAGAGAAGGGACACAUUUCUCACUGGUGGUGUCCCCCCUACUGGAGAAAUAGUUUCAUUGUCACAAAAAAUUAUCCAGACGAUUCCGCAACAGAUAACCCCAUUGCGCAACCCAUUACCCUGCAGACCAGCUGCAGUCACCGACAUCGUCCCACAAAAAUGCGAAUGAUGACGCUGAAAGGACCGGUUCCUGCACGCCUGCCGCGCCUCAUAAACGCGUCAGCGGUGGAGCAGCUCAGAGCCCGCGAAGAACAAAAGACAAAACAAAGAAAGAAACUCAUACAGGUUUGGGACAACUUGAGGGCGAGUACAUUAUGACAACAUCAUCUUUUUGGGUGAACUAUCCCUUUAAUAUUGAUGUAAGUGUUGCUUUUAUUUUUUUAUGGUUUAAUGUUGAGUGUGACUGCAAAUGGCUGGUAUGCACCAGGAACAAAGUAAGAUGUCAUUUCUCUUACGGCUAUCGUAUUUUACAUGCAAUCUACUUGAAUAUUAAAAUGGAUGAAAUGUUUCUUAAGGUUUAGUCAUUUCUCUUAUGACUACUUCACAUUUUUGAAUUUUACAAUCUACUUGAAUAUUAAAAUGGAUGAAAUGUUUCAUAGGUUGAUUUUAGACUUUGUCUAAUGUUUAAUUGACAAAUAAAUGUUCAAUCAAAAAUGUUUCUUUCUUUAUUUGGUUU